AGUGAACGCUGGCGGUAGGCCUAACACAUGCAAGUCGAACGGCAGCACAGUAAGAGCUUGCUCUUACGGGUGGCGAGUGGCGGACGGGUGAGGAAUACAUCGGAAUCUACUUUUUCGUGGGGGAUAACGUAGGGAAACUUACGCUAAUACCGCAUACGACCUACGGGUGAAAGCAGGGGAUCUUCGGACCUUGCGCGAUUGAAUGAGCCGGUGUCGGAUUAGCUAGUUGGCGGGGUAAAGGCCCACCAAGGCGACGAUCCGUAGCUGGUCUGAGAGGAUGAUCGGCCACACUGGAACGGAGACACGGUCCAGACUCCUACGGGAGGCAGCAGUGGGGAAUAUUGGACAAUGGGCGCAGGCCUGAUCCAGCCAUACCGCGUGGGUGAAGAAGGCCUUCGGGUUGUAAAGCCCUUUUGUUGGGAAAGAAAAGCAGCAGGUUAAUACCCCGCUGUUCUGACGGUACCCAAAGAAUAAGCACCGGCUAACUUCG
rnacentral:rRNA from 1 species